rnacentral:rRNA from 1 species
UCUGGGCGUAAAGCGCGCGUAGGCGGUUUGUUAAGUCAGAUGUGAAAUCCCCGGGCUCAACCUGGGAAUGGCAUUUGAGACUGGCAGGCUAGAGUAUGGUAGAGGUGAGUGGAAUUUCAGGUGUAGCGGUGAAAUGCGUAGAGAUCUGAAGGAACAUCAGUGGCGAAGGCGACUCACUGGGCCAUUACUGACGCUGAGGUGCGAAAGCGUGGGUAGCAAACAGGAUUAGAUACCCUGGUAGUCCACGCCCUAAACGAUGUCAACUAGGUGUAUGGAGAAAAUAUUCUUUGUGUAUCGAAGCUAACGCGAUAAGUUGACCGCCUGGGGAGUACGGUCGCAAGACUAAAACUCAAAUGAAUUGACGGGGGCCCGCACAAGCGGUGGAGCAUGUGGUUUAAUUCGAUGCAACGCGAAGAACCUUACCUGGCCUUGA